rnacentral:misc_RNA from 1 species
AGCAGCCGCGGUAAUUCCAGCUCCAAUAGCGUAUAUUAAAGUUGUUGCAGUUAAAAGCUCGUAGUUGAAUUUCGGGGUUAGCAGAUCGGUCGUGCCACUGGUAUGUACUGGUCUUACUGAUUCCUCCUUCCUGAUGAACCGUAAUGCCAUUAAUUUGGUGUUGCGGGGAAACUGGACUGUUACUUUAGAAAAAUUAGAGUGUUUAAAGCAGGCUAACGCUUGAAUACAUUAGCAUGGAAUAAUGAAAUAGGACGUUCGAUCCUAUUUUGUUGGUUUCUAGGAUUGACGUAAUGAUUAAUAGGGAUAGUUGGGGGCAUUAGUAUUCAAUUGUCAGAGGUGAAAUUCUUGGAUUUAUGAAGACUAACUACUGCGAAAGCAUUUGCCAAGGA